rnacentral:rRNA from 1 species
AAAUUGAAGAGUUUGAUCAUGGCUCAGAUUGAACGCUGGCGGCAGGCCUAACACAUGCAAGUCGAGCGGUAGCACAGAGAGCUUGCUCUCGGGUGACGAGCGGCGGACGGGUGAGUAAUGUCUGGGAAACUGCCUGAUGGAGGGGGAUAACUACUGGAAACGGUAGCUAAUACCGCAUAACGUCGCAAGACCAAAGUGGGGGACCUUCGGGCCUCAUGCCAUCAGAUGUGCCCAGAUGGGAUUAGCUAGUAGGUGAGGUAACGGCUCACCUAGGCGACGAUCCCUAGCUGGUCUGAGAGGAUGACCAGCCACACUGGAACUGAGACACGGUCCAGACUCCUACGGGAGGCAGCAGUGGGGAAUAUUGCACAAUGGGCGCAAGCCUGAUGCAGCCAUGCCGCGUGUGUGAAGAAGGCCUUCGGGUUGUAAAGCACUUUCAGCGGGGAGGAAGGCGUUAAGGUUAAUAACCUUGGCGAUUGACGUUACCCGCAGAAGAAGCACCGGCUAACUCCGUGCCAGCAGCCGCGGUAAUACGGAGGGUGCAAGCGUUAAUCGGAAUUACUGGGCGUAAAGCGCACGCAGGCGGUCUGUCAAGUCGGAUGUGAAAUCCCCGGGCUUAACCUGGGAACUGCAUUCGAAACUGGCAGGCUAGAGUCUUGUAGAGGGGGUAGAAUUCCAGGUGUAGCGGUGAAAUGCGUAGAGAUCUGGAGGAAUACCGGUGGCGAAGGCGGCCCCCUGGACAAAGACUGACGCUCAGGUGCGAAAGCGUGGGGAGCAAACAGGAUUAGAUACCCUGGUAGUCCACGCCGUAAACGAUGUCGAUUUGGAGGUUGUGCCCUUGAGGCGUGGCUUCCGGAGCUAACGCGUUAAAUCGACCGCCUGGGGAGUACGGCCGCAAGGUUAAAACUCAAAUGAAUUGACGGGGGCCCGCACAAGCGGUGGAGCAUGUGGUUUAAUUCGAUGCAACGCGAAGAACCUUACCUGGUCUUGACAUCCACAGAACUUAGCAGAGAUGCUUUGGUGCCUUCGGGAACUGUGAGACAGGUGCUGCAUGGCUGUCGUCAGCUCGUGUUGUGAAAUGUUGGGUUAAGUCCCGCAACGAGCGCAACCCUUAUCCUUUGUUGCCAGCGGUCCGGCCGGGAACUCAAAGGAGACUGCCAGUGAUAAACUGGAGGAAGGUGGGGAUGACGUCAAGUCAUCAUGGCCCUUACGACCAGGGCUACACACGUGCUACAAUGGCAUAUACAAAGAGAAGCGACCUCGCGAGAGCAAGCGGACCUCAUAAAGUAUGUCGUAGUCCGGAUUGGAGUCUGCAACUCGACUCCAUGAAGUCGGAAUCGCUAGUAAUCGUAGAUCAGAAUGCUACGGUGAAUACGUUCCCGGGCCUUGUACACACCGCCCGUCACACCAUGGGAGUGGGUUGCAAAAGAAGUAGGUAGCUUAACCUUCGGGAGGGCGCUUACCACUUUGUGAUUCAUGACUGGGGUGAAGUCGUAACAAGGUAACCGUAGGGGAACCUGCGGUUGGAUCACCUCCUUA